CACUGAUGUACUGUACAAUACUCUAUCUACCAUAUUAGAAGGACUCCACCAGUUAUUAGUUAAUAGGUGUAUUCACGUACAGCAAUUGAUUGGGCCGUAUUUUAGAGACCUAAUUAAAGGAAUGGGAAAAUUAUUUCUAGAUAUUUUGAGAUUUAUUAUCAAUAUGGUAUCUACUAUUAAUGGGCAUCUUCACAAAUUAUCAGUUCCUAUUACAACUGAUGUCCAGCAAGUUAAGAAUUAUAAAAGUCUAUUAAAGGACUUGUAUCAACAUUGUAUGAUUCCAUUGACGUUAUUAGUGGAAAAUACUAGUUCAUCAUUUCAUAGAUCUGAGGAUUUAACCUUUUUAUUGGUUGAGACCAGCAUUGCUAUGACAACUUGUGUAUGUAAAUGGUAAGAUAGUAUUAUGAUUC